GGAUGUGGGGGCAAUCUGGCUGUGACAUCUGUCACCCCACUGACCGCCAGGGUUGAUUCAGCUAAUCUGGCUGGCUAGGCAAGUAUCCCCCUUCCUCCCUCACCAUUCCAUGUGAAACCCCCCCGAAGCUGCAGGUUGGGUCAAAGAGGACAACCUUCCCCAGUAGAGGAGAACUGUUUUUCAGUCAAGGAUAUACAAGUAGCUGCAUUCCCCUACUAGAACCUCCAAACAAGCUCUCAAGGUCCAUUUGCAGGAGAAUGUAGGGUAGUCAAGUUUCAAGACUCUAGACCACAUCCAAACGAGGCCCUGCAUGUGGCCCUUUCUUU
rnacentral:snRNA from 1 species